rnacentral:rRNA from 1 species
GCUCAAAUUUGAAAUCUUAAAGGUUUUACCUUGACGAAUUGUAGUUUAAAGAAGUGUUUUCUGUUGGUGUUUUGGUAAAAGUUCUUUGGAAUAGGACAUCAUAGAGGGUGAGAAUCCCGUAUUUGACCAUUACUUCCAGCGUUGUGAUACACUUUCAAAGAGUCGGAUUGUUUGGGAAUGCAGUCCAAAAUGGGUGGUAAAUUUCAUCUAAAGCUAAAUAUUGGCGAGAGACCGAUAGCGAACAAGUACCGUGAGGGAAAGAUGAAAAGAACUUUGAAAGGAGAGUUAAACAGUACGUGAAAUUGUCAAAAGGGAAGCGUUUGACACCAGUGUUGUUUUCUCGAAAAUCAAUUAAAAAAAGUUGGAUUUUGUAUUGUUAAGACCUUACCAGCUUACUGUACUCUUUUCUUGCUUUUUUUAAUGCACUUUUCGUUUAACAAG